rnacentral:rRNA from 1 species
AGAGUUUGAUCCUGGCUCAGAUUGAACGCUGGCGGAAUGCUUUACACAUGCAAGUCGAGCGGCAGCGUGGGGGCAACCCUGGCGGCGAGCGGCGAACGGGUGAGUAAUACAUCGGAACGUACCCUAUCGUGGGGGAUAACGAAUCGAAAGAUUCGCUAAUACCGCAUAAGACCUGAGGGUGAAAGCGGGGGAUCGCAAGACCUCGCGCGAUUGGAGCGGCCGAUGUCGGAUUAGCUAGUUGGUGGGGUAAAGGCUCACCAACGCGACGAUCCGUAGCGGGUCUGAGAGGACGGCCCGCCACACUGGAACUGAGACACGGUCCAGACUCCUACGGGAGGCAGCAGUGGGGAAUUUUGGACAAUGGGCGCAAGCCUGAUCCAGCCAUUCCGCGUGAGUGAAGAAGGCCUUCGGGUUGUAAAGCUCUUUCGGCAGGAACGAAACGGUGCGGGCUAAUAUCCCGUAUCAAUGACGGUACCUGAAGAAGAAGCACCGGCUAACUACGUGCCAGCAGCCGCGGUAAUACGUAGGGUGCGAGCGUUAAUCGGAAUUACUGGGCGUAAAGCGUGCGCAGGCGGUUUUGUAAGACAGAUGUGAAAUCCCCGGGCUUAACCUGGGAACUGCGUUUGUGACUGCAAGACUUGAGUCGGCAGAGGGGGGUGGAAUUCCACGUGUAGCAGUGAAAUGCGUAGAGAUGUGGAGGAACACCGAUGGCGAAGGCAGCCCCCUGGGUCGACACUGACGCUCAUGCACGAAAGCGUGGGGAGCAAACAGGAUUAGAUACCCUGGUAGUCCACGCCCUAAACGAUGCCAACUAGGUGUUGGGGAAGGAGACUUCCUUAGUACCGUAGCUAACGCGUGGAGUUGGCCGCCUGGGGAGUACGGUCGCAAGAUUAAAACUCAAAGGAAUUGACGGGGACCCGCACAAGCGGUGGAUGAUGUGGAUUAAUUCGAUGCAACGCGAAAAACCUUACCUACCCUUGACAUGCCAGGAAUUCUGCUGAGAGGUGGAAGUGCCCGAAAGGGAACCUGGACACAGGUGCUGCAUGGCUGUCGUCAGCUCGUGUCGUGAGAUGUUGGGUUAAGUCCCGCAACGAGCGCAACCCUUGUCGUUAAUUGCCAUCAUUAAGUUGGGCACUUUAACGAGACUGCCGGUGACAAACCGGAGGAAGGUGGGGAUGACGUCAAGUCCUCAUGGCCCUUAUGGGUAGGGCUUCACACGUCAUACAAUGGUCGGUACAGAGGGUUGCCAACCCGCGAGGGGGAGCCAAUCCCAGAAAGCCGAUCGUAGUCCGGAUCGCAGUCUGCAACUCGACUGCGUGAAGUCGGAAUCGCUAGUAAUCGUGGAUCAGCAUGCCACGGUGAAUACGUUCCCGGG